rnacentral:rRNA from 1 species
CCCUUAGAUGUUCUGGGCCGCACGCGCGCUACACUGAUGCAUUCAACGAGCACUCGCUUGGCCGAGAGGUCAGGCUAAUCUUUGAACGUGCAUCGUGCUGGGGAUAGAUGAUUGCAAUUAUUCAUCUUCAACGAGGAAUUCCUAGUAAACGCAAGUCAUCAGCUUGCAUUGAUUACGUCCCUGCCCUUUGUACACACCGCCCGUCGCACCUACCGAUUGAAUGGUCCGGUGAAAUCUCGGGACGGCGGCUUGGUCGCUUGCGUCCGACUGCUGAAACUUGAUUAAACCAUAUCAUUUAGAGGAAGGUGAANUCGUANCA